UCAGCAAAGGCAGAAACAGAAAACAUUGCGGGACAGAGCGAUGACCAUAGCAACAACAUCACAUUAAUCAGGGUCUGUAGUCUGUGCAAAGACAAACUUCCCAAACAAACAAACUGCAGGAUGUAAGAUACCAUCAAGUUCCCUUUCAGCCCAGGAACUAGAACCCCCCCAGAUAUUUGCUUCCAGACCUCCCUUCUCCAGGCAAGAAAAUGAAUCAGCUGGGAGCAAGGAUCUUCCUUUGGUGAUAAAAAAUAUCCAAGGAUCCAGGCUUCCUAGGAUCUCAGAAUCACCAUCUGAACUGGCAGAAGCACAAAGAGGAGAUUGAAGCUGCACGAAUGCUGAAACUUAAUUAGGGGUGAGGACCUGAGGCAGCAGAGCAGGGUGGGAGCCAGACUGCACAAGGGAUGCUGAGGACAGCAUGGGUCUCAGGUGCAUGUGCCCUGUGCCCUGGGAGGGAGGCAGAGAGCAGGCUUCCAAG